AUCCAGGUGUCUCAUCCAGGCGAGCAACAGAUCUUCCCUACAGUUAUCAAACCUCCAUACACCAUGAAGACCGCAAUCUUCCUGUCGUGCAUUAUUGGUCUAACCAUUGCUAUUCCGGCUAAUCAUGACCAUCAACGAGUUAAACGUUCGCGUUCAUUCUCAAGCUCAGACUCAAACUCACUGGAACUAAAUCAAGUGCCUACCUCUGCACUACUCCAGCUGAUCCAGAACAUAAUUAAAACUCUGGCUGCAACAACUCCAACGACUACGACUCCAACGACUACGACUCCAACGACUACGACUCCAACGACCACGACUCCAACAACCACUACAUUGCCUACAACAAAAAAGCCAUAAAUUCAAAUAUACAAUGAUUGUAUCCUACUGUAUCAUUCCUAGUCUGAACUAACUCUUUCUCUACGACCUUAAACUUCUUAAAAGUAACGACUUCUCAAAAAAUAAUAAACUUACAGCAGGUAUCACAUGCAAAG
rnacentral:lncRNA from 1 species